rnacentral:rRNA from 1 species
ACAUUGCUGAUUGAACGCUGGUGAUGUUUAUACGCAAGUCGAACGGCAGCACGGACUUCGGUCUGGUGGCGAGUGGCGAACGGGUGAGUAAUGUAUCGGAACGUGCCUAGUAGCGGGGAUAACUACGCGAAAGCGUAGCUGAGCACGCACACUUUCGUAGCGCUGGGGACCUCGGGCCUCGCACUAUUAGAUGCGGCCGAUAUCGGAUUAGCUAGUUGGUGGGGUAACGGCUCGGCUCGGCGGCGACGAUCCGUGGUUGGGCUUGAGGAGGACGACCAGCCACACUGGGACUGAGACAUUUGCCCAGACUACGAGUGGCGCAGUGGGGAAUUUUGGACAAUGGGAAACCCUGAUCCAGCCAUCCCGCGUGCGAUGAAGGCCUUCGGGUUGUAAAAGCACUUUAUGAACAGGAAAGAAACGGCACGGGAUAAUACCCCGUGCAACUGACGGUACCUGCAGAAUAAGCACCGGCUAACUACGUGCCAGCAGCCGCGUACCACGCAGGUAAGCGUUAAUCGGAAUUAAGCAAAGCGCAGGCGGUUCAAGAGAUGUAAAUCCCAGAGCUGAACCUGGAACCCUGCAUUUUUAACUACCGAGCUAGAGUGUGUCAGAGGGAGGAAUUCCGCGUGUAGCAGUGAAAUGCGAUAUGCGGAGGAACACCGGAUGGCGAAGGCAAGUUUCCUGGGAUAACACCUUCGACGCUCAUGCACGAAAGCGUGGGGAGCAAACAAGAUUAGAUACCUGGUAGUCCACGCCUGUAAACGAUGUCAAAUUUAGCUAUGUUGGGGGCCUUCGGGCCUGGUAGUGCAGCUGACCAUGAAGUUGAACGCCUGGGGAGUACGGUCGCAAGAUUAAAACUCAAAGGAAUUGACGGGACCCGGGCGCGUGGACAGGGGAUUAAUUCGACAACGCGAAAACCUUACCUACCCUUGACAUGUCUGGAAUCCCGAAGAGAUUUGGGAGGCGUCUGCAAGAGAACCGGAACACAGGUGCUGCAUGGCUGUCGUCAGCUCGUGUCGUGAGAUGUUGGGUUAAGUCCGGCAACGAGCGCAACCCUUGUCAUUAUUGCUACGAAAGGGCACUCUAAUGAGACUGCCGGUGACAAAACCGGAGAAGGUGGGGAAGGAUACAAGUCCUCAGCGGCCCUUGCGGGGUAGCUUCACAUUGCCAUGGCAAUGGUCGGGACAGAGGUCGCCAACCCGCGAGGGGGACGGACCCAGAAACCCGAUCGUAGUCCGGAUCGCAGUUCGCAACCUCGACUGCGUGAAGUCGGAAUCGCCAGUAAUCGCGGAUCAGCAUGUCGCGGUGAAUACGUUCCUGGUCUGUACACACUGCCCGUCACACCAUGGAGUGGGUUUUACCAGAAGUAGUUAGCCUAACCGUAAGGAGGGCGAUUACCACGGUAGGAUUCAUGACUGGGGUAGAAGUCGUAACAAGGUAG